CAGCUUGUUGGUGGGGUAAUGGCCUACCAAGGCGACGACGGGUAGCCGGCCUGAGAGGGUGACCGGCCACACUGGGACUGAGAUACGGCCCAGACUCCUACGGGAGGCAGCAGUGGGGAAUAUUGCACAAUGGGCGCAAGCCUGAUGCAGCGACGCCGCGUGAGGGAUGACGGCCUUCGGGUUGUAAACCUCUUUCAGCACAGACGAAGCGCAAGUGACGGUAUGUGCAGAAGAAGGACCGGCCAACUACGUG
rnacentral:rRNA from 1 species